GGUAUCAGCAUUUUCUACCUGGGAGAAAGAAUUACACAAAAUCGUGUUUGACCCACGCUAUCUCCUGCUCAACUCUGAGGAACGAAAGCAGAUAUUUGAACAGUUUGUCAAGACAAGAAUAAAAGAAGAAUACAAGGAAAAGAAAAGUAAAUUGCUGCUAGCCAAAGAACAAUUCAAGAAACUUCUAGAUGAAUCGAAAGUGUCUCCCAG
rnacentral:lncRNA from 1 species